AUGGAGGUGGGUGAGAUGGACGACGUGCAGGCGGUGGGAGAGCAGGUCAUCAGCAGCAGGGGCGGCUCCGUGCUCGGGAAGAAGACCAUCCUCAAAAGUGAUCACUUCCCCGGCUGCCAGAACAAGCGCCUCACCCCGCACAUCGACGGCGCGCCCAAUUACCGGCAGGCAGGAUCACUGCGUGUUCACGGUGUUGCAAUGCCGACAAUGGAAGGAAUUGUGAAUGUGCUAAAUCAUAUUGGGGCACAAAAGAAGGGAAAGCAAACCCGAGUUCUAUGGCAUAGUCUUCGAGAGGAACCAGUUAUCUAUAUCAAUGGUCGCCCUUUUGUUCUACGAGAUGCCGAAAGACCCUUCUCAAACCUUGAAUAUACGGGAAUCAACCGGGAGAGAGUCGAGCAGAUGGAGUUUCGUUUGAAAGAAGAUAUUCUUCAGGAAGCUUCAAGAUAUGGGAAUAAGAUCCUAGUUACUGAUGAGCUGCCGAAUGGUCAGAUGGUGGACCAGUGGGAGUCAGUGAUGUCUGAUACAGUUAAGACUCCACUUGAGGUCUAUGAGGAGUUACAACAUCAAGGAUACCUUGUUGAUUACGAGCGUGUUCCUAUAACUGAUGAAAAAGCUCCGAAAGAAGGGGAUUUUGAUAACCUGGUACAUCGAAUCUCUCAAGUUGAUAUGGAGACUGAAAUUGUAUUCAAUUGUCAAAUGGGGAGGGGACGGACUACUACCGGCAUGGUCAUAUCUACGUUAGUUUACCUAAAUCGGAUAGGAGCUUCAGGUAUCCCAAGGACAAGUUCAAUUGGGAAGGUUUUCUAUGCUGGAAAUGAUGUAGAUGACUACAGUCCUAGCUCAGAAGAAGCAAUUCUCAGAGGAGAAUAUGCUGUCAUUAGGAGCUUAGUCCGAGUUCUGGAGGGUGGUGUUGAAGGCAAAAGACAAGUGGACAAAGUUAUUGAUAAAUGUGACUCUAUGCAGAACCUGAGAGAAGCUAUUGCGACCUACCGCAAUAGCACUCUUCGGCAACCUGAUGAGAUGAAACGGGAGGCAUCACUUUCCUUCUUUGUGGAGUACUUGGAACGUUAUUACUUCCUCAUAUGUUUUGCUGUCUAUGUACAUUCGGUGAGCUCUGCUCACCAAGCAACAUCUUCAGGAGUUCAUUUUUCUGACUGGAUGAGAGCAAGACCUGAACUGUACAGUAUUCUUCGAAGGCUGCUGAGGAGAGAUCCAAUGGGCGCUCUUGGUUAUUCAAGCUCAAAACCCACUCUUCCAAAAAUUAUUGAAUCUGCUGACGGGCGCCCACAUGAGAUGGAUGUUGUUGCUGCCAUGAGGAAUGGAGAAGUUCUUGGACGUCAAACUGUUUUAAAAAGUGAUCACUGUCCAGGGUGUCACAAUCUUAAUUUGCCUGAAAGAGUUGACGGUGCACCUAAUUUCCGGGAAAUUCCGGGGUUUUCAGUCUAUGGUGUUGCAAAUCCUACUGUUGAUGGCAUUCGGGCUGUUAUUCAGCGAGUUAGUACAAGCAAGGGAAACCGGCCGAUACUCUGGCAUAAUAUGAGAGAAGAGCCCGUCAUUUAUAUACAUGGAAAGCCUUUUGUGCUACGAGAAGUAGAAAGACCGUACAAGAAUAUGCUGGAGUACACGGGGAUUGGUCGUGAUAGAGUUGAGCGUAUGGAAGCUCGGUUGAAGGAGGAUAUUUUACGAGAAGCAGAACGGUAUGAUGGGGCAAUAAUGGUUAUUCAUGAAACCGACAAUGGUGAGAUCUUUGAUGCAUGGGAAAAUGUCAAUAAUGAAGCUGUUCUGACUCCACUGGAGGUAUACAAAUGUUUGGACUCUGAAGGCCUUCCAAUCAAAUAUGCACGAGUGCCCAUUACCGAUGGUAAGGCCCCCAAAAGUUCAGAUUUUGAUACGGUAGCCUUUAAUGUCGCAGCUGCUUGCAAGGAUGCUGCUCUUGUAUUCAACUGCCAGAUGGGCAGGGGCAGAACAACUACUGGUACUGUGAUUGCUUGCCUGCUCAGACUUCGAAUCAAUCACGGCAGACCUAUUGGAAUGCCAGCCAUCCAAAAUAAUCAUGAAGAUACAACUGAUGCCGAUUACUCAAGCGGAGAAGAAACAAUGGACCACAAUGGUCACUUGAAUUCAGAAUCAUGGAAACCUCACACUUUGACAGAGCUACACCCUAGAUUUGACAUUAAUGACAUCCUUCUGUUGCGAAAGAUUACAAGGCUAUUUGACAAUGGGAUUGAGUGUAGACAGAUUUUAGAUACUGUUAUUGACAAGUGUUCAGCUUUGCAGAACAUUCGCCAAGCUGUUUUGCAAUACACAAAGGUGAUUAAUCAACAAAAUCUGGAGCCAAGAGUUAGGAGAGUCGCAUUAAAUCGUGGUGCUGAAUAUUUGGAGAGGUACCUGAAAUUAAUUGCAUUCUCAGCAUACCUCGGGAGUGAAGCAUUUGAUGGUUUCUGCGGGCAAGGAGAAACAAAGAUCUCAUUUAAAAAUUGGCUGCAACAGCGUCCGGAGAUCCAAACCAUGAAAUGGAGCAUAAGACUGCGACCUGGGCGUUUUUUCACUGUACCUGAUGAGCAUAAAGCAACAUGUCAACCUCUGCAAAGUGAUGUAACGAUGGAGGCCAUCGUGAAAGCCCGUAAUGGUUCUGUUCUGGGAAAGGGAUCCAUACUCAAAAUGUAUUUCUUUCCUGGGCAGAGAAGGUCAAGCAGCAUGAACUUCCGUGGUACACCACAUGUUAUCAAGGUGGAUGGAUACCCUGUGUAUAGCAUGGCAACACCAACUGUUGAUGGAGCUAGAGAAGUUCUGUCGUAUUUGGGCUGUAAGGAUACAACUGGAAGAGACAUUAUUCAGAAGGUGGUCAUCAUGGAUCUUAGGGAGGAAGUGGUAGUUUACAUCAAGGGAACACCGUUUGUUUUGAGAGAGUUAGAUCAACCUGUUGAUACACUGAAGCAUGUGGGCAUAAGUGGCCCAAUGGUAGAGAACAUAGAGGCAAGGCUGAAGGAGGAUAUACUUUCUGAAGUUAAACAGCUAGAAGGUCGGCUGCUUCUGCAUCAAGAAGAAUUUAACACAGCCACAAAUCAAUGCAGUGUAUUAGGUUAUUGGGAGCACAUAGAUCUGGAGGACGUAAUGACACCGGCUGAAGUGUACAGCACAUUGAGGGAUCAGGGGUAUUGUAUUGACUACAAAAGGAUACCUCUGACCAGGGAAAGAGAAGCAUUAGCUGCUGAUGUUGAUUCAAUACAAUCAUCAAUCAAUGAAUCUUCUAGGUACUAUCUCUUUGUUUCACACACGGGAUAUGGUGGUGUUGCUUAUGCAAUGGCCAUUACAUGCCUGAGACUUGGUGCAGAUGCAAAGUUUGUCAUGGAACAAACAGCAGAAACACACUUCGUAUCAAGUUCUCUUACAAAAAGUGUACCUGUGAAAACCUUCACUGACAUAGCCCUCAGGCAGGGGGACUACCGUGACAUACUAAACCUUACUAGAGCACUGAUACAUGGUCCUAAAAGCAAAGAAGAGGUUGACAAAGUUAUUGACAGAUGUGUUGGUGCUGGGGAUUUGCGGGAGGAUAUUUUGCAAUACAGGAAGGCAUUGCGAGAUUGUUCACAUGAUGAUGAUGAUGAUGAGGCACGGUCAUAUCUCAUGGAUAUGGGGACUAAAGCUUUGAGGUUGACUCGGCUGGGUCUCGUUCGGCUGGAUCAGACCUUCUCGCUUGGGUCGCUGCUUCCUCUCAUUAGUUUGGGCUGA
rnacentral:rRNA from 1 species